GGGGCAUGGGAGAGGGAGAAUUUAAUUCCACCUUAAAACAAAGACUUCAGAGAAGAUGACAUUUGAGGGAUGAGGAGAAUUUUGCAGGCAGAGUGAAAUAGCAUCUAACUAGAAUCACAAAUACAAGGAGAUCAACCUGAGAAUCUCAAACAGACUGGCAUUAAGGUUCUUGAAUUGCUCCCUCUGGGAAAAGCCAGCCACCAUGCUAUGAGGACACUCAAGCAUACUUGCGAGAGGCGCUAAGGUGCCUGGCCAACAACCAGCACCGACUUGCCAGCCCUGUGAGAGUGCCAGCGUGGACGGAGAUCUUCCAGUUAAGACUUCAGAAGAAUGAGGCUCCAGCCAGCAUCUGACUACAAUCCAGUGAGAGACUACAAAAGAGGUCUGUCCAGCUGAGUCUUUCCCAAAUUUCUAACCUACAGAAACCAUGAGACUCUAAAUUCCUGAAAACUGAAUUGCUUGGUAUUGUGUCACACUCUCCCCAACACACAUGCAUAGGGCACACACACACACACAUGCACACACAUGCACACACACAUGCACACACACAAUACAAGGAUCCUAAUUACAGCACUGGAAACAUAGAAGGCCCUCAACAUUAUAAAAUGGAUAACUAGUAAACUAAUGAAUAAUAUAAAUUCUCUCUCUCCCUGUGUAUAUAUAUGUACAUAAAUAUAUACAGCUGUAGGGGCUGGCAGAUCAUUUGGAUUAUGAAAUAAGAGAGGAGAAACACUCCUUCUAAGUUAUUCAAUACGUAAGUCCUUAUAAGUCUCUCAAGUAACAAUUCAAAUAUCUCACUGUGACAAUGGCCCCAAACUGGGAAGUUUGGAGCCCUGGUGCUAGCAUUAGAGCAGCACAGUUUUAGGCAAGUGUCAAAACCUCCCUUGAUCUCAGCCUCCUGUGUAGGAAACAAAGGAGUUAGACUAAGGUAUUUUCAAAGUUCUUGUCAACUCUAACUUCCAAAGAUGCCAAGAUAGUGAGCUUGGUGAAGGUCUGGUACAAACAGAGCAAGGUGGGAAUGGAACUCAGCUUGGCUUACCCAGGGGCCUUUUGUGAUAGAACCGAGGAAGGAAGACUAUGCCACCUGCUGAAAUCCUGUCUGGGACUGGAUUUCAUUCUCAGAUUGGGCAGAGCUGAUAGGUCUCCAGUCUUUAGGGAGCAGGUAGAAGUUGUCAGGACAAUUGUCAGAGCUCUGGAGCACGCCACCAUCCCAGGAUUGUUUUGGUGGUGGUGUGGGUCUUUGGUCAUGGAGAUGGUGGUGAUAUGGUCAUCCACAGUCUCUGGAGCCUUAAGUCUCAGGGUCAGUCCUCAAAGAAAGGCUCCUGCCAAUGGUCUCACAUAGUCAGCUCUUAAUAGAUACAACAGCUGCUUUCUAAGAACACAGUGUAGUUUUAGGCAGUCUGCCUAGAAAUUCUUUUGCACUGAAUUCCUGGAAGAGGCUCCUUGAUUUUCUCCACGCCCAAGACUCAGAGGAGCCCAGUUGGCCAGAAAGCCAAGAACAACCACACGCUGCACCCAAGGUGAUGGCAUCUGUACGACCCAGGCUCUUGUGGGAGUGGAAGGGGCUGUUCUGCAAGGACCUGGUGAAUGCAACAAAGGGAAGAAGAGACCACCAUUCUGGCUUCAUAUUACGCUGGGAGAGUGCAGUGGGGACUGCAGUUGGGUAGAUAAUGUUUGCUGAGUACUUGCCUUUUAUCAGGUAUGUUUCACCUGUAUCUCAUUUAAUUCUUCUAAGAGUCCUGAAAGGCAUGCAUAUUUUUAAUUCAUUUUAUGGUUCAUAGAACAUUGGGUCGAGUACCCAGGAUGGUCUGGUACCAGUCCAAGUCCUCCUUCACCACUAGGCUAUCUUGCUUCCUAAACAGAGUCACUGAGGGUGUGAGUGCAUGUGUGUGUAUACAUGUGUCAUAGAGGAAAGGGUAGAAAAGUAAAUACAUUCUAGAGCAGGGGCUGGCAAACUAUGGCCCAUGGGCCAAAUCCAGCAUGCCACCUGAUUUGGUAGAGUUUUAUUAGAACGCUGCCAUGCUCAUUGAUUUACAUAGUGUCUACGGCUGCUUCCACACUACCGUACUUGAAUCAAGUAGUGCAACAGAGACCAUAUGGUCUGCAAAGCCUAAAAUAUUGACCAUCGUGCCCUUUAGAGAAAAUGUUUGCAGGCUCCUGCUCUCUAAGGCCAAGGUAAUAUACGGCAUUAUGGCAACUGCAGGUCUGAGACUAGAAAUAUAUAAUUAACUUUUCUAGAGAACCUUGCUAAACUACUAAAAAGAAUUUGUAAGUUACCAAAUAAUAUUCACAAUUAACAUCCAUUUUCAGGACAAAUAGGGCCACCAUAGUUCCUGUAUUUGGGAAACAACUAAUAGAGCUGAAGCUAUCAGUAAACUAAAACCGGACAUUAAGUGGAGAGCCAUCGUAAGUAAAGUAACUCUCCGAAGCGUUAAGUCUCACACCAAGACCUGAAGGAGUCAGUGGCAUAUUAAUUCAAAAGAGCUGCCCCCCAACCCAUUCUGUGUGGCGACUGAACCAGUCACUAAGGCAAGAAAAAAUGCUGAUGAGGCUGAAUCAGUGGUAAGUGUCCCACUGCCCAAUCACCCUCCUUCCCACGACCAGCCUGCAAGCUUGGAGCACGAAGCCUUUCAUUAGAAGUCUUGAGAUCAAAGUGCAAGGGAAGGGGGGAUAUCAAAGUUUGGAACUACUGAAGGACUCCAGAGAUCAACAUCAUUCAGCAGAAAUAGAAGCUCUGAGAAGGUGAGUGACUUGCCCAAAGUCAUGUGGCCAUGAUAGAACAGAAGUUAUCACCCACGUUCCCAAAGCCCAGAGCAGAUCUUGCUCCAGUGUGAGUCUGAGCAGUGAGCGAACAAGAGACUUCUCACUGGCAUCCUGAUCUCUGCCCUAAAAGGACAAUACAAGCCUGGAUCAGUGUUUCCCAACCUUCAGACAUUUCUGAAACACCUUUACAAUUUUGACGGGUCUGUGACCUGCACAUACUAGCAUUGACUUCAUAUAUUUAAUUGAGUCACUUUUGUUUUAAUUUACUGUACAAAGAAACUAUACCAUUUCCAUAAAUGGAAAAUCAGUGUCAGUUACCCUAAAUAGAAAAUACUAUGUGGCUAUAACAAUGUUAUUCAAUUCGAGGUAGAUAACACGGUUCGCCCUGUUCCUGAACCCUCUUCUUUCUUCCUGUAGAAAGAAUGGAGCAAAUGUUGGAAAGGUUUUAGGAACAACACCAAACUGAGACUCUCUCCAGAAGGAUAGAAAGAGAAUUUUAAAAAGAGUAACUUUCUCAAAAUCUCAUACCAUUAGUAGUAGUCUCCCCAGAUAUUUGGGAAACACUAAAACCAUACAAUCUGAUUUCAUGAGAAUUACAAAGCCAGCCAAAGAGUUGGGCAUAGCAGGUAGAAAAUAAGAAAGGAAGAUCCCCUCCCUAAAAGGGAUUAAAUCCCUGUAGCUUCCUUGUUGGAGUCUCAUGCAUAGCAGACACGUGAUCUCCAUUUGUUAGCCCCAAUGGAAAUGGCACUGUAUGUACUUGAGUUGGAUAUCAGAGUCAGACCUGAAUUUGGGUCCUGAUUACCAUUUUUUGACUGCAUGACUUUGGGUGGGUUAUGUAUCCUCUCUGAGUCUGUUUUCUUGUGUAUUAAAAGAAUAGGCAGAUCUGCAGCAACAUGGAUGGACCUAGAGAUUAUCAUCCUAGUGAAGUCAGUCAGACAGAGAAAGAAAAGUAUCAUAUGAUAUCACUGAUAUGUGGAGUCUAAAAAAAUGAUGCAAAUGAACUUAUUUACAAAGCAGAAACAGACUCACAGACAUAGAAAACAAACUCAUGGUCACCAAAGGGGA